rnacentral:rRNA from 1 species
CCCGGGCCUUGUACACACCGCCCGUCACGUCAUGGAAGUCGGGAACGCCUGAAGUCCGUGGGCCAACCGCGAGGAGGCAGCGGCCGAGGGCGGGUUCGGUGACUGGGACG